ACUGAACGCUGGCGGCAUGCCUUACACAUGCAAGUCGAACGGUAACGGGCCUUCGGGUGCCGACGAGUGGCGAACGGGUGAGUAAUACAUCGGAACGUGCCCGAUCGUGGGGGAUAACGAGGCGAAAGCUUUGCUAAUACCGCAUACGAUCUACGGAUGAAAGCAGGGGACCGCAAGGCCUUGCGCGGACGGAGCGGCCGAUGGCAGAUUAGGUAGUUGGUGGGAUAAAAGCUUACCAAGCCGACGAUCUGUAGCUGGUCUGAGAGGAUGAUCAGCCACACUGGGACUGAGACACGGCCCAGACUCCUACGGGAGGCAGCAGUGGGGAAUUUUGGACAAUGGGCGCAAGCCUGAUCCAGCCAUGCCGCGUGCAGGAUGAAGGCCUUCGGGUUGUAAACUGCUUUUGUACGGAACGAAAAGCCUUCUUUUAAUACAGGAGGGUCAUGACGGUACCGUAAGAAUAAGCACCGGCUAACUACGU
rnacentral:rRNA from 1 species